rnacentral:rRNA from 1 species
GUUGCUAGGCUAUAAAAU